AAAAUGAUGAAGAAAAGAAGAGUACUUUAAGAAGUUUUUUAGAAGAGAGUCCUUGUAUGCUGAAAGAGGAUAAAAACAGCUUAUUGGAACAUGGUCUUGGAGUCGCAUGAUCGAGAGUGUAGGUCAUGACGGGGUCGCCCGUUAUAGCGAUAGAGUAUGAUGGUACUCGAUGAGGCAAAACAAGUGAUUGUUUUGUGAAAAUAGGUGGUAACACGUAAGUUCAACUUUCGUCCUAUAG
rfam:Firmicutes bacterium CAG:308 genomic scaffold, scf28